rnacentral:lncRNA from 1 species
UUAAUUGCAUUAGUUUCAAAGGACCCUUUAACGUAUUAGCUAGCUUCAGGUUCAAAACACAGAACACAAGCAAUCUAUAGAUAGUGAGCAAUAGAGAAAAACUUGAAGAAGAAAAUUAAACAAGAUGGAGAAAGCUUAUCUCAAGAUGGCAUUACUAGUUCUAUUCAUCGCAUCCUGUUGUAUGUAAUCUUUUUUUAACUCUACAUUCAAGUUAAUGCAAAUGUGUCUUUCAUUUUGGUAAUUUUGUGCUUCACUGUAUGUGUGUGUAUAUAUAGAAUUCUAUAACUUCUUGCCGGGAAGUUGUCGAAAAAGCUCUACAAUCUUUCAACCAUAGUAGUGAGGAUAUAGCUAUGAAUAAAACAAAAUGAAGAUAAAAGAUUCAUGUAGUAAACCCUAGUAUGUUGUUGCCUAUUUUAUGCUUUGUUCUAUUUAUUAAUAUAUCAACUGAUUUUAAUAUUUCCCUUCAAAAUUUUUUUACUGAAAGUAUUAUUUUUUUUUUUUCUGACUUAUACUUUGCUCUGCAUUGAUAUUAAUUUGAUCAAAGCGGAUAUCGGAAAUACAGGAUUACUCCAACUAAUUAGGGACUAAGGCUGAGUUGUUUUUGUAUUUGUAAGCAAUUAUAGUUAGUUUAUAUAUAAAUUGUUGGCUAAUGGAAUACUGCUAAUUUUGCAGGCAUGUGGAUGUCCAAGGCGUCAAGGGUAAAUGAAGCAAAUGGGUGUCUUUCUGAUGCUCACUGCGCGUCUGUUAAGUGUCCAGAAGGCCUUACUAUUAAUUGUUUGAAGGGUCAUUGCAGUUGCAAACAAAGCCAAAUUGAGUCUCGUGAUGAAACUAUUGAUGGCAAAUGGCAUUGCCACUCGUACAAAGAGUGUGGUCAGCUUUGUCCACCAAAAUGUGAAUCCAAAAAAUGUGUUAAGGGUUUGUGCCUAUGUGGUUGUUAAUUUGUUAUUAAGCCAGCGAAUUGAAUGUCAUGAAAUCACAUUAUAUCAAUAAGAAAUAAGAUCAGUUUAAAUUCACAA